UCCUAUAACUGGGCUCCCCUGGUGGCUCAUUAGUUUAAAAAUCCACUGAUCAAUGUCAGAGUAAUGAAUUUGAUCCCUAAGUCAGGAAGAUCCCCUGGAGGAGGAAAUGGCAACUCACCCCACUAUUCUUGCCUGGGAAAACCUAUGGACAGAGGAGCAUGGAAGGCUACAAUCCUUGGGGUCACAAAGAGUCAGGCAUGACUUAGUGACUGAACAACAGAAACACCCUGUAACCAGGAAUGAUGGAUAAUGGAUGCUUUGGGAAGAUGAGAGAAGAAGGUGUGAGAAAGCAUGUAGCAGAAACAUAAAGGAUUGGAAAGCUUCAUUCAUAUCAUGGAUGGAUAAUUUCUGCUGUUUAGUAAUAAAAUCUCAGGAAUUUAAAGAUAUUUAACAGGACACUUUAUGAUUUUGUGAAAACAAACACACAAUACACCUACUAAUAUGCCUAGUAACUGUACAAAAGAUAUUUGUUGACUGAGUGAACUAGUAAUAGGUACCUAUUGUAAGUAAUAGAUUUUAUGUAUUUGGUGUUUAUUAGUUGAUAUAUAAUUUAUAUAAAAUUUAUGUUUCUCAUAGAUAUUUAUGAUAAACAGAGCUAGAGGACAUCAGCACUUGAAUUCCUGGCACUGUAGACAAUAUGCCAGGCACAGUGAGGAAACACACCUGAAUAGCUUAUGUAUUCCUGUACAUAAGUACCAGGAGUUACCAGGUAGGGUGUAUUGUCAAGGAUUUAUAUAUUUCCCUUAACUGCCUGCUUAGAAAGUUAUUUAUUGACAAUGUUUUUCUUUCCACAGUUUGAAGUGAGGGUUAAAAUUUAAAUUCUCAUGGAAAAAACAAUAACUCUUACCUGCUUACAGGACCUCUCAGCCUAGAAGGUACAUCUGAUAGUUACAAUUUGUAACCUCACAGACACAGAGGAGGGCUUGGAAACUUGGGACAAUAAGAUAAUAAAAUUAUCUUAUUAUCAUUUGAUAAUAAAAUU
rnacentral:lncRNA from 1 species